GCAAUUGUAGUGUAGCGGUUAUCAUCCCAGCCUUCCAUCACAAAUUAGCUGGGGACUCGGGUUCGACUCCCGGCAAUUGCA